CUCCUUCCUGUGGAGGACAGAUAACUUAAGGUAAUCUUGUUUCUGGCCCCCAGGUUAAGGAGAGGGAAAGGAAGAUGAGGAAAAGAAAAACAUGUCUCCUUUAAAAAUCAGCCUCAGAGCUACAUGCAGAAGGUGAAGUGGUCCAUGUUACCUUCCCUGCCUCUUCCAUUUCUGCAUGGUGCCAGCUGUCCUUGGCUUGUGGCCCUCUCCCUCCAUCUCUGCCCCUGUGGCAUGGCUCUCUCAUGAGCAGUCAGACUCCACAAAGCUUCCCCCAUUCAUAUUCAGGAGCGUCACAAGUUCAAAGCAGCCUCAGCAACUGUGAGGUACUAAGCAACUCAAUGAGACCCUGUCUCUAAGUAAACUACAAAAAGGGCUGGGGAUGUGGCUAGUGGUCCAGUGCCCCUGAGUUCAAUCUCUGGUACCGAAAAUAAUAAUGAUAAUAAUAAUAGCUAUGGGGAAACCAAGCAGAGCUGUCAGAAGCUGCGCAUGGCGGGAGAUGGACUUCACAGAGUUGGGCCAGGCAGGCCGCUAAAUUAAUAAAACACAACAUGCCCAAGGGGGACUGCCUAAUUAUUAUGUGGAGUUGCCAAAAGAUAUUAUCCAAAAUAACCAGUUUUCAACAACAACAACAAAAACACAAAAUGAUGACAUGUGCAAAGAGGAAGGGUAGUGUGACUCUUAUUUAUUUAUUUAUUGGUGCCAGGGAUUGAACUCAGGGGCACUCAACCACUGAGCCUCAUCCCCAGCCCUUUUUUGUAUUUUAUUUAGGUCUCGCUGAGUUGCUGAGUGCCUGGCUUUUUGCUGAGGCUGGCUUUGAACUCAUGAUCCUCCUGCCUCAGCCUCCUGGGUCGCCGGGAUGACAGGUGCGCACCACCAGGCCCAGCUAGUGUGACUCUUGAACAGAAACAGAAGUAGGCAAAAGUAACUCCCUCUAAAGGGUCCAGAUUUUGGAUUAGCAGACAAAUAUGUCACAGCUGUGUCUGUGCAGAGGUUCAUGAACAGAGCGGCAUUGGUGGCAGGGACAGUGGCUCUGCGUGGGUAGGCGAACACCUUUCCACCACUGAAAUGAUCAGCUGGUAAGGAGGAGAGGAUUAUUUUGGCUCACCUUUUGGAUAUUUUGGCUCACCUUUUGGAGCCUCGGCCCAUCAUGGUGGGCUCAUGGGGUAAAGGCACAGGGCAGCCAGGAAGUAAAAGGCAGAGACAGGAAAGGGCUGGAGUCCCAAUUUCCCCCUUCAAGGGCGCACCCCCAGAGAGCCAAAUUCCUCCUACCAGGCUCCACCUCCCGAAGUUCUACCGCCUCCUGACAGCACCGGGUUGAGACCACCUUCCACAGAGGGGACUUUAGGCGACAUUCCAGAUCCAAACUAUAGUAGUGGAUCUAGUUAGCAAAGGUAGCUGGCUAGAGAUAAGUGGAAGCAGAAGCAGGUGAGAAGGGCGUGGCUGUGAUGGGGCCCUGACGGGCACUCGCUACCCAGCAUGUGACACCACAGGACAUCAACUCCCCCUCACCUUGUGAGGGUGGGCUAUGGAAGAACCCCCCCCCCGUGGAAGACUAUUAAGAGGUAUUUUACCCAAGGACCAAGGAUCACCCCAGUUCUCUCACCCUCUCCUGAGAGUCGCAUGGCCGCUGCCCAGCCUGGAGCAUCAGAGGCAACAACCCCAGACCCUGUGUGCCUAGACAGGGGCGUGAUUUCUCUUUCCCACACUACUGAUACCCCGGUUAGCAGUGCCGAGUUCUGCUUCUUCCUGUGUUCAAGCACAGUAUUAGGGAAGCACGCCGAAGCAGGCACAUAAAAAAGGGGUCACGUAGACUUCUCCCGGGAGAGAGAAGGGAGCCAUAGUGGUCUCCUGGUGUCCCAAGAGUGAGGGUGUUGCCUUUUUAGGUCCUAGCCUUCCUUGUUCUCCCACUCUCUUCCCCUCAUCUCUCCUCCCAGCCUUUGUGACUAGGCCCAGGAAAUGCUCGGUGAGAUGGCCAAAAGGUGGGAACAAGCGGGCUGGAGGGGCCAGGGAGGAGGGAUCCAGGCAGCAAGGGAGCCCAGGGUGAAUUAAUUAGCAGGCCCCAUGCGCUCAGGAGUUGCUUCAUUAACAAAGCUUCAGAUGGGCAGUCUAAGCCAGACUUUGGGAACAUUAACAUUUCAAUUUCCCAUAGGCACAGUUUCAAACCUUUGGACCCAAACCGGUUUGUUCAGUUUUCUUAAAUCUGGCUAGAGUUUUCUAUCUACACUGACCACCUGCUUUUUAAAUUCUGACUUCACUACCACCUACCCUGGACAUGAUUUUGCCUUCCUACCUAAAGUUCUUCUGCCAGCACUUCCAUUCCAAGAUCCCUGAGUACCUGACCUCCAAGGGACAGUGCUGCACACCAAAGACUUGCCUCACAGCCUAUGCUGUGGGCAGUGGCCCUGCGGUUCCAGGACGCCCUGGUCUUCCCAAACCCCCCAGCAGCCCCAUGGAACGGCACUAGGAGUUCAAGGUCCUGCGUGGGAUCCCUUCCAGAGGGCCCUGUGCAGAAAAGAGCCAACACCACAGGCCUGAGACUGCUCUUCUGCAAAGGUAAGCUUGCAGAGUUGGG